CCAGAGUACUAAAGAAACAUUGAGUUAUCCGAGUCUUAUUGAAAAAGGGAUCAACAUUGCUAAAUAUUCUAACUACCAUCAUGUUGUGACAAGAUUAAUAAAACGUGCCCGCAAGGUACUAAGGCCCAAUUUCCACUAUCAAUAAAAACUUUUAGCAAAUCAAUUGCAUCUUGGAAGGUCUGCAUUCGAAGCUAUGGUGAGUUUUUUGAGCGGCAGCUUGAAAUAUGUCUCAUCAAGCAACGCAGGAAAUGGAGAGCAAUGCACAAACCCACCUGUAUGCUCAAAACGGAACUCUGGAUUUUUUGGGCCAGCCUGCUCUGAAGAAGGAAACUGGAAACUGGACCGGAGCGAUCCCUAUGAUCUGUCAAGUUUCUCCAACUGUUUGCAAAGCUUUCAGUGUCUUGACUUUGCUAGUGUGUUGCAGUCAUCCAAGUAGUUGCGACGGUCAUCUUCUUCGGCAUAAUCUCCAACCUGCUGACAUGUUAUGCAUCGAGAUGUUUCUCAAUCCGCAAGUGACGCUAACAAUUUGCAGGGCACUUACUUUCUCUCCUCAGUUCUUGGGGCUUUUCUCUCCGACACAUACUGGGGCCGCUACAGGACGCUGCUGUACUCUUUCGUGCUCUAUGGCGUGGUGAGUACUUGAAAUUCUAUCUGCAAAAGUAGCUUUACCAACACCAAUCCAAAAACAAAAACUGAAAAACUUACCAGGGAUUGACAUGCAACACCAUCUCCGCAUCCCUCAAGAACUUGCGGCUUACAAGCUGCCCGGCUCAAAGCCCCACUUGCCAGCAAGCAUCGCCCGGGCUGAAUGCUUUCCUCUUCCUCUCGCUCUACGCACUUCGCAGGUGGAAGCUACCACCUCAUUCGUGUCCUUCGGAGCCGACCAGUUUGACAACUUCAUCGUCUGGGGCAUUCACAUCGGAGGCUUGGUUUCCGUCACCAUGAUCGUAUACAUUGAAGAUCACGUCGGUUUCUCGUGGGGAUUUGGCCUUCUCGGCCUUAUCCUUGCGGUAUCCAUAGCUCUGUUCCUCAUCCAGACCACCAGAUACCGGUACCGUAGGCCCGAAGGAAGCCCCCUUACGAAAAUGGUGCAAGUCACGGUAGCAGCUUUCAGCAAGCGUAACGUCGUUGCACCAUCCCUGAAGAACAGUCGAUUGCCAAAGGGAAAAGACACAUUCCACACACUAACCAGUUCCGGUGAGUGACUGUAGCUCUCGACUUUUCCCUGUUCUUAGCUUCGUUCGUGACAAGGCAGCACUGAAGCUCGAUACCGACAUGGAGAUGGAGUCUUCCACGACGAAAACCAGCCCCUGGAAGCUUUCCACCGUGACCCGAGUCGAGGAAGUCAAGCUCGUCAUACGAAUGCUCCCAAUCUGGUUGGCAACGCUCUGGUUUAGCAUUGCUCCAUCUCAGUCCGCCACCUUCCUCCGCCAAGGAAUGGCUAUGGACAACCGGCUUGGAAGCACCAUCCCGCCAGCAACCUCACCGUGGUCCUCUUCCUCCCACUCUACGACCGUAUCAUCGUCCCAACCAUAAGAAAGUUCUCCGGGAACGAGCGUGGCAUCACCUUGCUCCAGAGAAGCGGGCUGGGAAUCUUCAUCGCCGCCAUCGGCCUGGGCAUCGCAGCGCUGAUGGAAAUCAAGAGAAAAGCCUGGAUGAAUCCCACCACCACCGUCACGAUCUUCUGGCUGGUGCCGCACUACGUGGUGCUGGGCAUAGCGGAGGGCCUCACAAACUCAAGCCAGCUGGAAUUCUUCCACGAGCAAUCGCCCGACACCUUCCACAGCCUGGGCACGUCCCUGGCGCUCGCGAACCUGGGUGUGGGGAGCUUCUUGAGCAUUCCCUGCGUCAAUCGCGCGGCGCCGUCGUGGCUCCGGAACGGUGUGAAUUCCGGGCAUCUGGAGCGCUACUACUGGCUGAUCUUGGGGCUGAGCCUCGUGAAUCUGGCGAUCUUUGUGCCGGUCGCGCGCUGGUACUCGUACAAGAGCCCUGAUCCCUAAGCUCUAAGAACCCUAAAAUGCCCACUUAAAAAUCAAUUUUUCUUUUACCUUUAAAUGUAGUUUAAUGUCUCAUAAAACUUUAACACUGCCCAUUAAAUUAGUUCUUCUACUUAGGGUCUUUUAGCAAGACAAGAAACCAAAAGCCUACCUUGCUCGGAACCAAUUUUAAAAUAAACCAUUUUUUUAGGGUAGUUUAACCAUAUGUUUAAGAAACUUUUUACUAGUCAAUUGUUGGCAAUUGCCCCUCUGUUUAGUUCUAGUCGAGUUACAUCAUUAUCGUCUUCUACCAUGUUUUUUGUGUUUAGUCCAAGAGCUCGCAUUUCUUCAUUGACAUUAGUGUCUCCAAUGUAAAUUAGAAAAUUAUGCAAAAUGCAGCAGGAAAAAAAACAAAAGAAGAAUGAAGCUAGGACAUAGCUUUAAGCAAAUGAAAUACACAUUCUACAAAUUGGUCUUCCUUUUGAGAGCUCUUUGUUGUAGAAGCGCUUGGUUUCAUUGAGAUCUACUGAUUAUGGAGAAAUGGUCAUAAUCCACAGACAGCACAAUUAGCCUUUGUCACAAAGUAGGUACCAUGGGAGUGAUCUAAAUGUAGAAGUUGAGGUAUAGAUUGCAGAUUUUCGGAGUACACCAACCAUGGCGCUACUGCAAGUAUAGCCAAUAGCAAUCCUUCUUCCACUACAGUUCUGCUUUAGUUGUUCGUGCAUCAAGAGAUCCAAGACACCUUAAAUCCAAGUAUCAAGAGUAGCCACAAAAAUUGAAUGAUUUCUUUAGGAGUAGCAACAGCAAUGGUGAAUGGUUUAUUAGUUUUUCCAUUUCAAGCCCAAAGUUUUGCUUUGCUUUGGGAAGAACACUUUCUCCAUUCCUUGGAAGGGCCAGUUGUUCCAAAUUCUUGUGGUUGCCAAGGAUUUUCUAUGAGGAGCAACAUGUGUUGGAAGAACUUAAGCACACUUUUAGAAUUUCAAAGUAGCUUGCAUUAUAGAGAAGCUUGUAGUGGGCAAAUCAAUCUGAUCAAUCCACAUUAAAGAAUUGAAAUUGAUACUAAAAACUGACAUACCCUAAUCAAUUGAUUUGUUCUAGGUGGCACUAUUGCCCAACAAUUGCACUCUUUGAGUUUUCCUUUACUAGCAAAGAUGCAUGUAAAAUCAUUUUAGCCCCAUUAAGGAGCAUUUGUGCAGCAUCUUGCUCAAAUAUCAAGAAAACAAUACCAAGAAGUGGAAAAAGAGCUUACACCACCAUUAACACAAAUUGUAAAUGAAUAACAAAUGGUGAAUAUGUCAAAUAAUACACAUGAAAAGGAGGUUUGUUACUUCUUGGCUAUGUGUAUUAAUUAUGAUUAACUUGUAUGGCUUUGUAGCCUACAUCCACACUAGUAGAAGCCAUUGCUAUUAUGGCUGCCACAAUAUACAUGACAAGGUAUAUCAACUCUUUAGCUUGUAUAUAUUACAUACUAUAAUUUUAUUUGGCUUUAUAAGAAACAUUGGCACAACUGCAAGACAAUCAAAUAUUCUAGCAAAUGUUUCUUACAUCUGAGGUUUGUUUAAUUUUUAUCCAAAGUUAACAACAACUACAUAUUUUCUUAAUACUUUUGUAGGGAUCAAAAGAAGCAAGUGAUAUUGUAUAAGAGACUGUUAUUGUUGUGUAUGAGGUGAAAGAAACAAUGUGAGAAUCUAAAAUUGUUUCUAGCCCCUCUCACGUUGCAUUUUCCAUUGUAGCCACAGUAGAAGAAUAUUGAUAGUAGUGCACAAAAAUAAUUAACAACUAUCAUUAAAGAAAUAUCACUAUAAGUAGUUUCAUUUCUUUAUUUAAACUGGAAAAAUACCUAUAAGAACUUUAAAGCUUAACAUAAUAACCUUAAAACAAAUAAUGAAACUAUUAUUAGGAUUGGAGCCUUUUUUUACCAACAUGAAGUAAUACUAUAAGAGUGAGAAACAUAUAUACCAAUUACUAAAUACCAAAAAAAUUAAAAUAAAAAAGGUAUUAAAGUACUUUGUUGAACAAAUUGUGAAAUUCUGACAAUUAAUCCUUUCUAAAAAAGCUUGGUCCACAAAUACCUGGGACUAUAAUAUUAUAACAGUAAUAGAUUAGUUACUAGAAAAAUAUAUAUAUAUCUAUAACUAUAUUUUAUAAAAUGUAUUAUUAACCAAUAUAUAUAUGCAACAAAAUAUGUAAAUUGUGCUAAAAACUAGGUGCAUACAAAGACCAAAACAUUAUUCUAAAAAUUACUGUCUUCAAUAGUCACAUAAAUAGUUUCAAAACUAUAUCUAUAUCAGUGAAUCAUAUAUACUUACUUUUACUCCCAAGUUGCUCCUUAACCAUAUUAAAAACUACACUAGUAAUCACUCCUAGAGUGAUUGUUAAAUAGGACAUGAAUUAUACUAAAAACUAACAAAAGAACCAUGUGUGAAAUCAUUUAUGUCGUGGUCCCAAACCAGAGCAAUUAAAAAACCAUUUCCAAAACUAGAAAAGUGGCAUAUAGAUUUUUCUUAGACAACUGGUUAUACACAAAAACCAUAUUGACAGGUGUGCUAUGUUACCAUGGCUAAAACUAAUUUAUAAAUAACUCAGGGAAGUUAGAAGAAAUGAUGAGAUCAACAGAAAAAUCACAUUAAGUAUCACCAGAGGCUGCAAUUUACUUAAGCCACAUUAAUAACAAUAACAAUUCAUAUAUAAGCUAUGCUUUAGGAAUGAGUAAACAUUUUUCUCCUUCUAAGUGGCAAUAGAAUCCAUGGUUUUGCCUAAUAUUCUUAUUUAAUAAUGUUUUUACAUUUACACAUCCAAUAUGAGUAUUAAAUUUAGUUUCCUACCAAAUGUUCAAUUUGUGUUAUAAGAAAAUAAUCUCUUGUAAUUGAAGAUAAGUAAAUAAAAAGCAGUUAGGUUUCUGUAAACAAUGUAAUACUACUAUUUUAUUUUCAUUAUAUUAUAAAAUAUUACCAUCUUUUUGAGCUAUAAGAAAGUAGAAACCAUAAUGCUCAAUAGUAUUAGGUGAUGUUUUAAAGAAAUUUUUCUCAGAAUAAAGAGAAACUUAACAAUUUGAUUGUAAAAUUAAACCAUUCUUUCCAUUUGGAUUGGUCUGAUAAGAUUAUUUUGUAAAGAAGCAUUUAAAGAUUUCAAGUUAUUACAACUUUUAUAUGAAGGUAUAAAUGUAUCCAAGAAAUGUGUAUCAAUAAUUAUAAACACUUCCUAGAUAUAUAAUCUAGACAUAGUUUAAAUAACUCUUUAAUACCUGUUCUUAAUCUAUUUUCAGUGAUUGUACUUAGAGGAUAUAUGAUACGAUCAGGAGUAGUCAAAUAUAAUCUUCUAAGUUGUAGUUUUCAUAUAAUUUAUUGGAUAUAUGGGACUACUCCAGUUUUAAUUUGUGAUGUAAGAAAAUUAAAAUUAUCAAGAUCUAUCAGCUAAAGAGUUAUGUCUAAGUUACUUCUAUUGAUACUGCAUGUUCAAUAAAAUAUACAAUAAUAUUGAUUACAAAUAAUUAUUUUACAAAUAAUAAAUUUUUAUAAACUACAUAAUCAUUUUCUAAAAUUUCAAUAUUUUUUAUUUCUUCCAAAUUACUGUAUUUUUAAAUAUUAUUUUCAAAAGAAUAUUAUUCUAGAAAAAGUCCAGGUCACAUCAAGUGGCUUGCAGCAACAUAAGGUUGUGAAGAUCUAUGUACCAAGUAUCACAAAUACCAAAGACCAUGAUGAAUACAAUAGCAACAGCACUUGGUUUGCUUAAUAAUAAUUUUUACUAAUCCAAUUGAUAAAAUAGAAGUUUAUAAUUAUAUAAUAUUUAUAAUUUAUAAACACAAGAUUAAUUUUAUUGAAUAUCAACCAUUAGAGAAUAUACUAAAAAGUGUUAAGGAAAUUUUCUAAAUUAUAAAUAGGUUUAUAAAAUAUAAAUACAAGAGUAAUCUAAAUGAACAACAACUGUUAGAUGGUAAAAUGUCCUAGAAUAUUUAAGUAUAUUCUAAAUAUAUCUACUACUCCCAAUAUACUAUGAAAAUUCAUUGGAGAUGCUUUUGUUUUUGUGAUUGAAAGCCUUUGUCACCAGCUGGUGACAUGGAGAUCAGAGUACUUGUAAAAGCAGAGGUGCGCUACAUCCAAGAGAUCCAAGAGAGGAUGUAACCAGCAAAUCCAAAACUGCCCUUAGAAGUUGACGAACUAUCAAUCUGGAUGAGAUCAAUCCGGAAGUGUAAUUUUAGCAACCCCUUUCCUCUACAAAUAUCCCCGCCCUCGCGGUAAUCGUGGAAAGUCGACAAGAGUGGGCUCCCUCCAGGUAACGCGAUCAAAGCAAAGAAAAAUCCCCAUUCCCAUCUCAUUCCCAUUCCUUUCUCAUGCCGACAUAUCAUUUCGAUUUUCAAUGCAAAGUCGCUGCGUGGCUGUCGAUUCACUCUCUCAGGUUUGUUUAAUCUCCAUGCCGGGUUGAUCGCAAAAAACGACCCCGCCGCCGUCCUUGUUUGACACUUGCUUACACGCACACGAGUCAACACAUAAAGGUCCCCGUACGCUUUUCUUAUCGCUUUCUUUGGCUUGUUGAUUUCCUUCGCUUUGAUUUCCUCCCGGUUUUCUUCCCUGUUUGCGUGCUUGUUUUUUUUCUUCCAAAACGGGUGGGUGUGUGUGGUGUUUAUUACGAGACAGUCAGUCUGAUCUCUUUCACAUAUGGACCCCUGCGCCGCGCGCCUCUAUACUCUCCCAAAGUCUCCACAAUUUAUGGUCGCUUAUAAAAGCUUGCACGACUUCUCUGCCUCCUCGCGCACAACCAUCUCUCCUCUCCCCAAUUCCUCGCCUGGUCGAAUGUGAUCGCUUCUUGGGCUGUGCUGCGACGACCUUCCUGACCCGAUCCAUGGCAGCAGCGGCGGCAGGGAUGAACGAUUUCCAGCUCAGCGAGAUCCGGGUCACGCCAGCGCCCUCCAUCGCUCUCCCCGGGAAUGGCCACCAGAUUCAUCACCAGGCCUCGCCUCCCGCGGCCUCUAGGGGAUGCUUUCCAGUCGCCAUCGUGCCCAAAUCCACGCUCUUCCAGAAGGUAAUGGAUCGAUUUCCCCCCUCUUCUUCCUCUCUCUGUCCCCUGUUUAUAGGGUUCUUGGGAUGUGUAGAUUGGCGCGGAAGUGAUCAGCACAUUCAUCCUCGUCUUCGCGGGAUGUGGCGCCGCGAUGGUGGACGCCAAGUACAAGGAUUCGAUCACCCACUUGGGCGUCUCGGCGGCGUUUGGGCUUGUGGUGAUGAUCAUGGUCUACGCCGUCGGCCACAUCUCUGGAGCUCACAUGAAUCCGGCCGUGACUCUGGCGUUUGCGACCGUGCGCCAUUUCCCCUGGCAGCAAGUAAGCUAGAUCUCUCGCCUAGAUUCUCGUGUUUGAGUGGUCGAUUGAGUUAGAUUUGGAUUGAUCGUGAAUUAGUCGAUGGUUCUUCUUUGUGUUCUUUCCCGCGAUCUUCGUCGCUAACUUUGGAAGUGUUUGAUUGAAAUCUCUCCUCUCUCCCAGGUUCCUGCCUACAUCGGCGCACAGAUCACUGCCGCGAUCACUGCCGCGUUUGCGCUGCGGCUGAUCAUCAGCCCCGUGGCUAACAUCGGUGCCACAAUUCCCGCUGGAAGCGAUCUCCAGUCGUUCUAUCUGGAAGCGAUCAUCACCUACAUUCUCAUGUUCGUCGUCUCCGCCGUCGCCACCGACGCUCGAGCGGUAAGCGCCGACACAUCCUCUCUGUAGAUGCCGCUCUAAUGUCCGCGACGAUCGUGUAGAUUGGAGAAUUGGCAGGCCUCGCAAUCGGUGCUACAGUGGGCUUGAAUGCCAUCUUCGCCGGGUAAGCCACUCAUUCCCCCUUUUGGAUCGAUCAAACUGGACAAAAUCCUUCUCGAGCUUUACGACAUUUUUCUCCCUCGUUCGCUCAGGCCAAUAUCGGGCGCGUCAAUGAAUCCAGCACGAAGCUUGGGCCCCGCGAUCGCCGCGAACAACUACAGUGGAUUGUGGGUUUACAUUGUCGGCCCGACAGUCGGCGCGCUGGCGGGUGCGUGUUCUUACAACAUGAUCCGGCUGCCCGUGAAGCCGGACGAGCUCCCCAGGGCCGCUAGCUUCAAGAGAUAGAACAAGGCUGUAAAAAGAAUAGCAGCUUUAGGUGACCACCUAAGUGAUAACUCAAGUAAAAAAAUAACUAGUUAGCCAUCUCUCGCUUACUCACUAGUUUAACAAUUGGAAAUUCCAUUCAUUCAUUUAGUAAUUGUUUACAGGGUCUUGUGGCGCCGACGAGACCGACGGAUUAUAAUAAACUGUUUUAAUAAUCUUACUGCGAGGUUUUGUCCUCCCAAUAUUCUUGAUUUACUUCAUGGUAGUGGAGGAUUUCCAUCGUAGCUCUAAAUUAUCAAUUAUCUUUUCUUGUUUAACAUUUUAAGAAAAUACCAGUGGAGCAAACGAACUGCUAAGGAUAAAAAUAUUUGGUUGGAGUGUUAAGAAAAGAUCUUAGGAUUUUAAAUUAAAUUAAUUUAACCCCAUUGAAAAACUUAUAGCUUAGUAAGAACAUAAUAGUCAAAGGCUUGGUCAGUUUCUUGGUCACGCUCAAAGAAACAACAGCAUCUUUGCCAAUCUAACAUGAUUAGAUUUUGUAUGCACUUGAGCAGCCAAAAACAGCUUGGAGUGGCAGACAGAAUCCAGCUUCUUCUUCCAUUUUGCAAAAACAGGCGUUGGAGUCUAUGCUUCAUGUUGCCUGUCCUAUUGGCUCUAUCGAAGCCACAGUUAGAAUUGUUGGCCCCUCCCUCCAACUCUAAAUCUCCUGAUUCAUGGUACGAGAGCAGGCCUGUAUCAGAUCCACCAAGCCCAUUGCUCAAAGAGAAGCUUGUUUUGCAUGCUGGGAGAGAAAGGUCUUUAAGAAGUCCCAUUAGCAGGUAAUUACUUUGUGCAUUUAAUUUUGAAACUAUAAAACCACAUUAUUGAACUGACAAUUAUUUUUAUUCACGUUCUCACACUCAAAGAAAUAGCCAAAUAGAUAAGUUACCGGUUUCUCGAGAGGACUUUUCCAGUAAAUCGAAGUCAAAGAGUAGGCCAGAAAGGAGGUUGGAUGUCAUUAAUUCUUCAAGAAACUCUGGACUAAAGUGCGUCACAGAGGUGACCACGCGGAUAAAAAUUUCAACUGUGGCCCCCUACACACUCUCACAUACUCACUCACACCGAGCUCCUUAAGUACGCACGAAAAUGGUUUGGUUGCUCAAAUCUCACUCAUUCUUUCUCUGAACAGGAAGAAUGACCUUUGUAGCUUUCCAGGCUCCAAAGCUCCCGGGAGUGGCCAAAGUCUUGUAACUCUGCACGGGAAGAAAGAAAUGGUAAGUUCAUCUAGACUGUCCGGCACAAGAUCUAAGCAAAACAACCGCAGGAAUUGGAGAGCAAAGCACAGGCUUACUUGUAUGCGCAGAAUGGAACUCUGGAUUUCAAAGGCCGGCCUGCUCUCAAGAAGAAGACCGGACGAUGGCCGGGAGCCAUCCCAAUGCUCGGUGAGGGUGCACUGUCUCGUUCUCUGCCAGUUCUAAAAGCUUUUCUUUCCUGUGCCGCAGUGAUCCAAAUGUCUGCCACUGUCAUCUUCUUCGGCAUAGUUUCCAACCUGGUGACUUACUUGACGACCGUUAUGCAUCAAGGUGUUGCCAGAUCCGCCAGAGAUCUCACUAAUUGGCAAGGAACGCUCUUCGUCUCGUCAGUUCUCGGAGCUUUUCUCUCCGACACAUAUUGGGGGCGCUACAAGACGCUGUUGUACUCGUUUCUUCUCUACUGCGUGGUGAGUAGUAGACUAAGUAGUGAGCUUGCCGCAAACUUUCUUCUCUCUGCAAAACAAAAACCAUCAUCACCAUCAUCACUUCACACACUUCGAAAGAAAAAAAACUAAACUUCCUGACAGGGACUGAGCUGCCUUACCAUCUCCGCAUCCGUCAGAAGCUUGAGGCCUCCAAGUUGUCCCGCUCGAAACUACACUUGCCAGCCAGCGUCCACUGCUCAGAAUGCCUUGUUCUUCUUCUCCCUCUACGCCAUAGCGUUUGCGGGCGGAAGCUCCACCGCCUCGUUCAUGUCCUUUGGAGCCGACCAGUUCGAUGAGUCCGACGACGUCGAGAGGCCGCAAAAGUACUCCUUCUUCAACUUCCUGCUCUGUGCCAUUCACGUCGGAGGCCUGAUAUCAGUCACCGUCCUCGUCUACAUCGAGGACAACGUAGGCUUCUCCUGGGGCUUCGGCAUUCUCGUCAUCGUUCUCUCCAUCGCCUUGGUCGUCUUUCUCAUCCAGAUGCCGAGAUACCGCUACCGUCGUCCCGACGGAAGCCCCCUCACAAAGAUCGCACAAGUCCUGGUCUCCGCUUUCCGAAAGCGUCGCAACAGAUUCGGAGCUCUUGAGCUCUACGAGGAAAAGUCCAUCGCCAAAGGCAAAAGACACAUCCCCCACACCGACGAGUUCCUGUGAGUAGUGCCUGUCAUCUUCUUCCGUCCCUUUGCUCCUGUUCUAAAAGCCGCGGUGUUCGUCGUCCAGGUUCCUUGACAAGGCAGCACUCAAACUCGAUGGUGACAUGGAUAUGGAAGUGGAAUCCACGACGAAAACCAGCCCCUGGAAGCUUUCCACCGUGACGCGAGUCGAGGAGGUAAAGCUCGUCAUACGAAUGCUCCCAGUCUGGUUCGCAACGCUAUGGUUUACCACUGCUCCAACCCAGUCCGCCACCUUCUUCCUCCGCCAAGGAAUGGCUAUGGACAACCGGCUUGGAAGCACCUCCUUCAAGAUCCCGCCAGCGUCCAUGCUUCUCUUCAGCAACAUCACCGUCGUGCUCUUCCUCCCGUUCUACGACCGGAUCCUCGUCCCGGCCAUGAGAAAGAUCUCCAAGAACGAGCGCGGCAUCACCUUGCUCCAGCGAACCGGGCUGGGGAUCUUCGUCACCGUGAUCGCGCUCGUCACCGCGGCACUGGUGGAGAUCAAGAGGAAGGACGAGAACUCCAGCUCCAGGAAGCUAGGAAUCUUCUGGCUGCUGCCACAGUACGCGCUGCUGGGCAUGGCGGAGGGCCUGGCCAACACGAGCAUGCUGGAGUUCUUCCACGAGCAAUCGCCCGAUACCUUCCACAGCCUGGGGAUCAGCCUGGGGCUCGCGAACCUGGGCGUGGGG
rnacentral:lncRNA from 1 species